rnacentral:sRNA from 1 species
UGCAGAGGUUUUGUGUUAGUCAUCUUAAGGAGGCUACCUGUGGUCCCCAAGUCAUGCCCAAUGGAGAGAUCUGGCAACUGUCCAUUUCCUGCCUCUUCAUCCCCCUUGCAGACACCACUCAGUCAACCUUAUUCGUUUGGCUAUUUGGUCCAGCAGCCUGAGGCUGGAAGACAAAUGGAAGCCAUGGGUUUCUACCUAGGAAGAACUUGAUUAAAGGGGAUCAUCACUCUCCCCUACUCCCGCACUUAAUGUCUGCACCUGCGGGGAGUCACAGUUAGUUCUUGACUUUGGCCAGUUGAGGCGUUCUGACUCUCAAAGAGGCUUCACUCUCUCUCAGCUCUUUGCUAUUUUCGCCUUCGGGUCCUGUGGCUCCUACAGCGGGGAGACAGGAGCAAUGGUUCGCUGCAACAACGAAGCCAAGGACGUGAGCUCCAUCAUCGUUGCAUUUGGCUAUCCCUUCAGGUUGCACCGGAUCCAAUAUGAGAUGCCCCUCUGCGAUGAAGAGUCCAGCUCCAAGACCAUGCACCUCA